ensembl:lncRNA
CUCGGGUAUCUUGUAGCCAUACACAUUAUCGUUAACAGAAACUGGUUACCUGAUUUUGUCUUUGGUAACGGUCCAACACAAUCAACCACCACAUGUUCGAAUGGUUUACCUAUGACAAGAAUUGGACAAUGAGGAGCUGGAGGAAUAACCUGAUUGGGUUUUCUUGUUAUCUGACAUGUGGCAUGUCCGACAGAACUGAGCCACAUCUUGUUUUAAACCUGGCCAAAAUAAAUGUUGAAGGACCCGAUCAUAAGUCUUGGUGAUUCCUAAAUGAUCGGACCACUGGUGAUCAUGGGCAAGGGAUAACACAUUGUGUCGAAAGGCUGUAGGAAUCACUAUUUGGUAAACAACAUUCCAAUCUCUACCCGCGUCAACAUGGGAUGUCCAUUUACACAUGAGGAGAUUACCAUCAAUGAAGUAUGCCACAUUCUUCUUCUUUACCUCUUCCAAUGAGACAACCCUAGAAAAACAUUUAGCAAGCCUGUUGUCAACCUUUUGGUUAGCAAUCAGCUGCUCAGAAAUAAGUUCAAUUUACUUCGAUUCUUCCCUGGGCUGUUUGUCAGAGGUGAUCAGCUUCCCAGAGGUAGCACACAACCCAUCCUCUUGAUCAACCUCUUUGAACAGAACAGUGUUCGACAAAUCUAUCACGUCACCCACUUGUCGUGCCUGAGCACGAGUGACAGCACAAGCGGGGAACACAUGUGGAUAACUCUGCCAGCUCAUUGGAGAGAGGACCUGAGCCCUAGGACCAUGCCUCAGGACUACCUGGCCUGAUGACUCCUUGCUGUCCCCAGUCCACGUGGCCGUGCUGCUGCUCCAGUUUCAACUGUUCUGUCUGCGGCUAUGGAACGCUGACCUGUUCAAUGGACGUGCUACCUGUCCUAGACCUGCUGUUUUCAACUCUCUAGAGACAGCAGGAACGGUAGAGAUACUCUGAAUGAUCGGCUAUGAAAAGCAAACUGACAUUUACUCCUGAGGUGCUGACCUGUUGCACCCUUCGACAACCACUGUGACUAUUAUUAUUUGACACAGCUGGUCAUCUAUGAACAUUUGAACAUCUUGGCCAUAAUCUCCAACAAGCACAGACAGAAGAGGACUGGCCACCCCUCAUUGCCUGGUUCCUCUCUAGGUUUCUUCCUAGGUUCUGGCCUUUCUAGGGAGUUUUUCCUAGCCACUGUGCUUCUACACCUGCAUUGCUUGCUGUUUGGGGUUUCAGGCUGGAUUUCUGUACAGCAUUUUGUGACAUAAUCUGAUGUAAGAAGGGUUUUAUAAAUACAUUUGAUUGAUUGAUGAUAAAUUAUGUCUUGUCAAUGGUUUCAAUCAUGCCAGUGAUUGAUUGACAGCGGAGCCAUAUACUUACAAUUGUAAAUAUAUUGCUCUGACUGGCACCUUGUGGGUGUGGGUGUCAACCUCAAUCAUAACACUUUAUCUCCUUCAUCUCAG